CACGGGGGGAGCAAGCGUUGUUCGGAAUCACUGGGCGUAAAGGGCGUGUAGGCGGUCAGGUAAGUGGGAUGUGAAAUCCCUCGGCUCACCCGAGGACCUGCAUCCCAAACUGCUUGGCUUGAGUAUGGGAGAGGAUGAGGGAAUUCCUGGUGUAGCGGUGAAAUGCGUAGAUAUCAGGAGGAACACCGGUGGCGAAAGCGCUCAUCUGGCCCAAUACUGACGCUGAGGCGCGAAAGCUAGGGGAGCAAACGGGAUUAGAUACCCCGGUAGUCCUAGCCGUAAACGGUGAUCACUAGGUGUUGGAGGCAUCGACCCCUCCAGUGCCGCAGCUAACGCAUUAAGUGAUCCGCCUGGGGAGUACGGCCGCAAGGUUG
rnacentral:rRNA from 1 species